rnacentral:lncRNA from 1 species
UAUGGCGUUGUAGGCCGAAGGUACUUGGACGACUGCAAAGGUUAGGUGGACGGUGCUUUAUCGUGGUUCGGUUCUAGCUGUCACGGGAAGAGUAACUUCUCCUUCCACUGUGAUGGCUUCUCCGACGAAACCCACCAGGGGCGUGGAGACUCUUUCGAGCCGAUCAGCCGACAGUCGCAUUCGGGAGAAGGUCGAGUAAAACAAAAUAUUAGUCGAACUUCCAUU